rnacentral:snRNA from 1 species
AUACUUACCUGGCAGGGCAGAUACCGUGAUCAUGAAGGUGGUUUUCCCAGGGCGAGGCUUUUCCAUCACGCCCUGCAUGUGCUGACCCCUGUGAUUUUCCCCAAAUGUGGGAAACUUGACUGCAUAAUUUGUGGUAGUGGGGAGUGUGUUGGUGGAAAAAAGAAAAAGAAUGCCUUU